UGCUGGAGGACUAUCUAAAGAAAUUUAGGUGUACCACUGUUAGACAUAAAUAUGAAAAUUAGAAAAUUCUAUUUUAUUAUAGAAAUAGGGAGUUAUAUUUUUAUUUGGAUUAUAGGGCUAAAAUUUUAUGGGUUUUAGAAUUAGAAUUUUAUGAUAAUUUUAGUAUUUUAUUUUUAUAUGGACUCUUUCUAGACUUUUG
rnacentral:lncRNA from 1 species